GUAUAUAGAGCAGACCUGCAGUAUUAGUUUCUCUACAAAACAGGGUAGCUUGUACUUGAAGUGUUGCCACCAUGAGACUUAACUGCUGCCUGACGAUCCUUCACGUGUCCAUCUUAGCGGCGCUCCUUGUCCAUUUGGAAGCUUAUAGUGAAGAUUGUGAAGUUGAAAUCAGAGUGCGCCGCAACACAGUGUAUAAAGCUUCUGUUGGGGAAGAACUGAGGAUUAACUGCACAGUUGUUUUCUGCAACAACUCACCACCAACAGUCUCCUGGUUUAAACCAGGGGAAACUUAUGUCAAUGUUGGCAGUAGCAGCCUCAUCAAAACAGAGUGGAAAAAACUAGACGAUUCACGAGGGAUAUCGUAUUUGGUCUUUAAAAAGAUUCAUAUGAGCGACUCAGGUGAGUAUCAGUGUCGGAGUGGAGGCAGCAUGAGCCACAACAUCAACGUCUCUGUCUCUGGUGAAGUUUGUGAAGAUGAAAUCAGAGUGCGCCGCAACACAGUGUAUAAAGCGUCUGUUGGGGAAGAACUGAGGAUUAACUGCACAGUUGUUUUCUGCAACAACUCACCGCCAACAGUCUCCUGGUUUAAACGAGGGGAAACUGAUGUCCCUGUCAAUGUCAGCAGUGGCAGCCUCAUCGAAACAGAGUGGAAAAAACUAAACGAUUCACAAGGGAUAUCAUAUUUGGUCUUUAAAAAGAUUCUUAAGAGCGACUCAGGUGAGUAUCAGUGUCGGGGUGGAGGCAGCGCGAGCCACAACAUCAACGUCUUUGUCUCUGACCCUGGUGAGCGAUUCUUUUUAAACUAUUUCCAACUCCUAAAUUAUUAAUCUAGAAAUUGUCAUAAUUUCCCAAACAAUCAGACUGAAUCUGUGUCACUACUAUAAACAAUCUGACCUGUUUUUCAGAUUAUGUUGAUUAUAAUGUUGUAUUGAGAAAAAUGGUAUGGGAUAAAAGCUGUUUUCUCUUUGCACACAAACUAAAUCUACAUACAUCGAUGCUUCUUUGAUGCUUAGUCAAAUGUCACUCUUUUAUCCUCCAGGACCUGCUUUCCCCCACUAUGCGUUACGCAUUGUUGGAAUCGUGGUGUUAGUCAUCGUGGUGAUGAUCAUCUAUGUAGCAUCGAGAGCCGGGUGUAAAGGUAAGAAUACCGCAUGUGCACAUAAAAAAUGAUAACACGCAAUAAAAAUGAAUAUGUGACGCUACAUAUUCGCUCUGAUGAGUCUAAUAACUCAUCUCUCCUGGUGUCAGUACGAGGUGUCCACUCUGCAAGAACAUCCAGGGAGGCGCCAGAUCUGAGCCCCCAUCAUAUCUAUGAAAACGAUCCCUGAUACCUUAAAAUCAAUCUGCUAAGUUAAAUGUCAAUAUUAGGGCUCUGACUAAUAUCAAAACAUUUCAUAGUGUUUCAUUUCAAGGUUUUGUAACCUGUAAUAUGUCUCAGAUUUAUUCAUGUUUUCACUUAUUUGUGUGUCGAAUGAGUGUGUCAAUGAUGCGCUGUCAUUAUGUUUGUAAGUUACAUGUUUCAUGACUUUAGAAUAAUUAAAUAUUUUAUACAAUGACGGAACAAUGUCCAUUUAUUCAUAAUCAUACGUGUGCUUGCUGUCAUGAGUCAAGGCGAAUGUGUAUUUCUUGUAAAUCAACCUGUUAUAAUACAGAAGUGAAAUUUCUUAGGUGAGAAACCACCAUUGUUCUUCCAUGGCUGCGUACGUGCGUGUGUGUGUGUGUGUGUGUGGUGUGUGUGGUGUGUGUGUGUGUGUGUCUGCAGAAAGUCACACAUUUACAUGUGAACUUUGUUUUACUUCCUGUACAGAAAACACUCUUUGUGCACACAUCCAUUGCAGAUACUUUUUUGCGUAAUGGCCUGUUGAUUUGUGUUUGUGUGUGAAUGUGCGUGUGUGUGUGUGUGUGUGUGUGUGUGUGUGUGUUUACGUUGACGCGUUCUCGACUGAAACAGCUUCUUUUCUCGGGUUCAGCUUCUUUGGUGCAUUUGGGAGCAGACAGACAGUCGCCUGAUGAACAGACAGGAAGCAGAAUUAAAC
rnacentral:lncRNA from 1 species